rnacentral:rRNA from 1 species
GCUACGCCCGGGCCGGCGGCGCGGGUAGGAGGGGGGGGGGGAGCGUUGUUCGUAAGUACUGGGGGUAAAGCGCACGGAGGCUGACCAGAAAGUUGGGGGUGAAAUCCCGGGGCUCAACCCCGGAACUGCCUUCAAAACUAUUGGUCUGGAGUUCGAGAGAGGGGAGUGGAAUUCCGAGUGUAGAGGUGAAAUUCGUAGAUAUUCGGAGGAACACCAGUGGCGAAGGCGGCUCACUGGCUCGAUACUGACGCUGAGGUGCGAAAGCGUGGGGAGCAAACAGGAUUAGAUACCCCAGUAGUC